rnacentral:lncRNA from 1 species
UAACAAACAGCUGUCUCUCAGAGACAGAGAGAGAGAGAGAGGGACCCUGUUUUUAUAAAACUUAUAGUUUGAUGUAAAAAUAAACAUUAGUUGAUUAAUCCAAUGAAAGUAAAACUACCACUUUAUUUAGCGAUUUGAAGAAAGGGUGGGUAAAAAGUACUGUAAGAAUGUCCAGUCCUGUGAGUCUGUGACCUAGUGAAUGAAAACAUUCAAACUGAGUUCUGAAGGUUUAGUAGGAGCUAACUAGGCACAGAGGUCAACAUAGAUGGGUCUGGCUGAAGACAGAGCAUAUAUGAAGGCCAAUGGUAGAAGGGAGAUGGUGAAGUUGGGUGUGGUGGUACACACCCAUAAUCCCAGCAAUUUAGGAAGCUGAGUCAGGAAGAACACAGUUCAAGGCUAGCCUGGGCAACUUAGUGAGACCCUUAUUUUUAUUUAUUUUUUGGAGAAGAGGGGUAUCAGGAAUUGAACUCAGGGGCACUCAACAACUGAGCCACAUCCCCAGUCCUUUUUUAUAUUUUAUUUAGAGCAGGGUCUUAUUGAGUUGCUUAGGACCUUGCUAUGUUGCUGAGGCUGGCUUCGAACUUGCAAUCCUCCUGCCUCAGACUUCCCAGCCACUGGGACUACAGACAUGUGCCACAGCGCCCAGCCUAUUUAUUUAUUUUUAAAAAUAUCUUUACUAGUUGUUGAUGGACCUUUAUUUUAUUUACUUAGUUAUGUGUGGUGCUGAGAAUCAAACCCAGUGCCUCACACAUUUGAGGCAAGGGCUCUAUCAUGGAGCCACAAGUCCAGUGCCCCCCCCCCCAACUUAUUUUUAUGUAAAUUUUUUUAUUUAUAUAUGACAGCAGAAUGCAUUACAAUUCUUAUUACAUAUAUAGAGCACAAUUAUAGAGCACAACUAUCUCUGGUUGUAUACAUAAUAUAUUCACACCAAUUCACGUCUUCAUAUAUGUACUUUGGAUAGUAAUGAUCAUCACAUUCCACCAUCAUUAAUUACCUCAUGUCCCCUUCCUUCUCCUCCACCCCUCUGCCCUGUCUAGAGUUCAUCUAUUCCUCCAUGCUCCCACUCCCUAUCCCACUAUGAAUCAGCCUCCUUAUAUCAAAGAAAACAUUCAGCAUUUGUUUUUUGGGGAUUGGCUAACUUCACUUAGCAUUAUUUUCUCUAAUUCCAUCCAUUUACCUGCAAAUGCCAUGAUUUUAUUCUCUUUUAUUGCUGAGUAAUAUUCCAUUGUGUAUAUAUGCCACAUUUUUUAAUCCAUUCAUCUAUUGAAGGGCAUUUAGGUUGGUUCCACAGUUUAGCUAUUGUGAAUUGUGCUGCUAUAAACAUUGAUGUGGCUGUGUCCCUGAAGUAUGCUGUUUUUAAGUCCUUUGUUUAUAGACUGAGGAGAGGGACAGCUGGGUCAAUUGGUGGUUCCAUUCCCAAUUUUCCAAGAAAUCUCCAUACUGCUUUCCAUAUUGGCUGCACCAAUUUGCAGUCCCACCAGCAAUGUAUGAAUGUGCCUUUUCCCCACAUUCUCGUCAACACUUAUUUCUAUACUUUUUUUUUGUUUGCAUGCAUAAUAGCUGUCAUUCUGACUAGAGUGAGAUGAAAUCUUAGAGUGGUUUUGAUUUGCAUUUCUCUAACUGCUAGUGAUGAUGAACAUUUUUUCAUGUAUUUAUUGAUUGAUUGUACAUCAUCCUCUGAGAAAUUCUAUUCCAUUUUUAUUUUUUCAAAUAAAAAGUGAAUUAGUGACAAUCCACUUUAUUUAGUUACUUAUAUUGAACUCAGGGGCACAUCCCCAGCCCUUUUUUCUAUUUUAUUUAGAAACAAGGUCUUAUUGAACCUGGGGAUUGAACCCAUUGCCUUACGCAUAGGAGGCAAGCACUCUACUAACUGAGCUAUAUCCCUGGCCCCACUUUAUUAAGAUUCACUAAUGGAUUCCAACAUGUUUUUGUAGAACAACUUGAUGAUUUAGUCACUCAAUCACUGUUAUUAGACAUAUAGAUUGCUACUAGUUUUCCAUUAUGAACAGUGCUGUUUGGAACAUUCUUGUAACUUUCUUUGCUCACAUUAAUGAUUUAUUUCCCUUAAUAGAAAUUUAUAGAGGUGGAACUACAAUGUCAUAGGAUAUGCAAAACUGUGGGGGGGUUGGUAUUUAUGGAUAUAUUGGUUGUCAAGUAAACUGUAUAUAGUUUGAAAUUAUAUACUAUUUUCAGUUAAUAAGGGCAGCAGUUAUCUCUUGCUGUAUAACAAAUCAUCCUAAAAUAUAUCAGCUUUAAACAAUAAGCAUUUGUUAUAUCACUGUUUGGGUAGGUGAAGAUUCUGGGAUUAGCUCCCUCAGCUGGGUCCUCUGGCUCAGGAAUUCUCAUAAGGCUGCAGUCGAGGUGUCAGCUGGGCCUGUAAUCAUUUUAAGAUGCAACUGUAGGAGGACCUACUUCUAAGCUCACUUACAUGGGUGUCGGCAGGUCUUGAGUUCCAGAUGCUAUUGGCUAAAGACAUGGGUUUCUUGUCAUGUGGACUUCUCUAGAAUGCUAUUUAGGAUGAAGCAUGUCAAUUACAUUAGACCAGAGAAGGAGAAAGGGAGGGAGAGAAAGAAGGAAUUGCAGUCUUUUGUAAUCUAGGGAGGUGACAUCCCAUAACUUUGGCUAUAUUCUAGUCAUUAGAAGCAAGUGACCAGAUCCAGACACACUGAAAGAGAAAAGAUUACACAAGAGUGUGAAUACCUGGAGGUAUAGAUCACUGGUAGCUAGUUAGAGGGUACCUACAAUAGAAAAUCGUGGGCACUUUCAACAUUAGAAUUCUUCAAAAAUAUCCAUUUAAGGGCUGCUGCAGUAUCUGAGAGGGUCUAUCCUAUCCCCCUUUAAAUAAAACUGAUAGUGGCCUAAUCUUCAAAAGUAUUGCAUUACUUCCCCCUCAAAAUUCCUCAACAAAAAAUCAUUGUUUCUGGGAUUGUGGCUCAGGGGUAGAGUGCUCACCUAGUAUAUUCGAAGUCCUGGGUUCGAUCCUCAACAUCACAUAAAAAUAAACAAAUAAAAUAAAGCUAUUGUGUCCAUGUACAACUAAAAAAUAAAUAUUUUUUAAAAUCAUUGUUUCUGCAAUAUAAUUAGUGGACUUUUAUUUACUUUUAUUAUUAACAGUAAAAUUCAUUUUGUAAUUGUUAUCCUUCUGUUUCCCUUAUUAUUGGCAUUAAACCACCCAGAUAUUCAAAAAGUUAAAACGGAAACAGCCAUUUACUUGCUCACAAUUCUGCAACUUAGGCAAGGCUUGGCAGGACCAGCUAGUCUCUGCUGAGGGGACUUACUGGGGCAGAAGAUGCAAGACAGCUUCACCC